ensembl:lncRNA LINC01791 long intergenic non-protein coding RNA 1791
AUUCCGAGAUUGUGUGCUGAGGGUUUUCAACUGCAUCUCUAAAGGGAAGGCCAAAGAAAGAGCAACAGGAAAGGAUGGUAAAAAGGGGGUAGAAAGGAAGAAGGAAGGGAAGAAAAAAGGGAAAACAGCAAGCUCUCUUUCCAGAGCCACACAUUUUUUUCUGUUUGCUCAGUGGCAGUCUGUUAAAGAAAUACUUCAUUGUCACUGAACACAGAGUCAUUAAAGGCACCUUGGAAAUUUGGACCCUUUUACUAGAAUCAGGGCUUAAAUAGCAACUUAAUUUAUGACACUUCUCGAGGCUGAUGGCGUUUUUGCUCUAAGACCUGCCUUGCAAGAAAUGUUAAAAGAAGUGCUUUAGAGAGCAGGGAAAUUCUAUAGGUCAGACACUUGGAUCUACAUAAAAAAAGGAAGAAACCAAAGGAGAAAUAAGUGAAGGCAUGGAAACCUUGUUCCACACAUUGCCUGGUGCCCUGUCCAGCGCUGCAAGGUGCACUGCGUCUCCUCUGCCCAGCAAGCCACAAGCCCCUCCAGGGUGAGAGGAGAGCCUUCCCUUCCCUUGGUCCUCCCUUCGACACAGGGAGCUGGAGCUGGACAGCCCCAUAGGCACUCAGGCACUGAAAUACUGGCCGUUUAUGGCUCCUGAAACUUGGGAUGGGAGGACCCAGAGAGCUCUUUUCACCAAGAGUGUGACCUCAGCAGCUUUCAUUCCUUCCUGGCCCCAGCUGGCUCUGGGCUGAGCCCGCUUCACCAGGGAGCACCAUGUGAAGAUGAGUCUCAACCUGGAGUCUGCCAUUUGUUUCCAGUCCUUCACUGCCAUUCCAAAGAGAGGAAUGACUGCCCGACCCUCCAUCUGGGGCAGACUCAGCCCAAAACAGAGGCUGUUGGCCCCUUUCCCCACCUCUCAGCUCCUUAGCACUUUGAAUCCAAUCCUACUCUUUGGAACUUAGCUGAUAAAUACAAGGCUGCCUUUUCCAAAAA